rnacentral:rRNA from 1 species
UACGUAGGGUGCAAGCGUUGUCCGGAAUUAUUGGGCGUAAAGAGCUCGUAGGCGGUUCGUCGCGUCGGCUGUGAAAUCCCGAGGCUCAACCUCGGGUCUGCAGUCGAUACGGGCGGACUAGAGUUCGGCAGGGGAGACUGGAAUUCCUGGUGUAGCGGUGAAAUGCGCAGAUAUCAGGAGGAACACCGGUGGCGAAGGCGGGUCUCGUGGGCCGAUGACUGACGUGAGGAGCGAAAGCGUGGGGAGCGAACAGGA